rnacentral:rRNA from 1 species
CGGACGGGUGAGGAACACAUCGGAAUCUACCCUGUCGUGGGGGACAACGUAGGGAAACUUACGCUAAUACCGCAUACGACCUUUGGGUGAAAGCGGGGGACUCGCAAGAGCCUCGCGCGAUUGGAUGAGCCGAUGUCCGAUUAGCUAGUUGGCGGGGUAAUGGCCCACCAAGGCGACGAUCGGUAGCUGGUCUGAGAGGACGACCAGCCACACUGGAACUGAGACACGGUCCAG